UAUACCGCGUGUGUGAAGAAGGCCUUCGGGUUGUAAAGCACUUUAAGCAGGGAGAAAAAGUUGUAAGUUAAUACCUUAUAACCCUGAUGUUACCUGCAGAAUAAGCACCGGCUAAUUCCGUGCCAGCAGCCGCGGUAAUACGGAAGGUGCAAGCGUUAAUCGGAAUUACUGGGCGUAAAGCGCGCGUAGGUGGUUUGUUAAGUUGGAUGUGAAAGCCCUGGGCUCAACCUAGGAACUGCAUCCAAAACUAACUCACUAGAGUACGAUAGAGGGAGGUAGAAUUCAUAGUGUAGCGGUGGAAUGCGUAGAUAUUAUGAAGAAUACCAGUGGCGAAGGCGGCCUCCUGGAUCUGUACUGACACUGAGGUGCGAAAGCGUGGGUAGCGAACAGGAUUAGAUACCCUGGUAGUCCACGCCGUAAACGAUGACAACUAGCUGUUGGGAGACUAUGUCUUUCAGUGGCGCAGCUAACGCUUUAAGUUGUCCGCCUGGGGAGUACGGCCGCAAGGCUAAAACUCAAAUGAAUUGACGGGGACCCGCACAAGCGGUGGAGCAUGUGGUUUAAUUCGAUGCAACGCGAAAAACCUUACCUACUCUUGACAUACUUGGAGGCUCUUGUAAUGAGAGUGUGCCUUUUGGAACCAAGAUACAGGUGCUGCAUGGCUGUCGUCAGCUCGUGUCGUGAGAUGUUCCGUUAAGUCGGAUAACGAGCGCAACCCUUACCCUUAUUUGCCAGCGAUUCGGUCGGGAACUAUAAGGGGACUGCCGGUGAUAAACCGGAGGAAGGUGAGGACGACGUCAAGUCAUCAUGGCCCUUACGAGUAGGGCUACACACGUGCUACAAUGGGAGAUACAGACGGACGCUAAGCCGCGAGGUGGUGCUAAUCCUAAAAAGUCUUUCGUAGUCCGGAUUGGAGUCUGCAACUCGACUCCAUGAAGUCGGA
rnacentral:rRNA from 1 species